CCGGGACACUUCCGGCUCCCGGCAGCUGCCUCAGUCGGAGGUCCGCGGGCGCCCCAUGCUGGCAGUGGUAAUGCCGCCGGCUGGCAUCCGGUUGGCUGCGCGCUGGGAACGCCAGCGAGGCAGCGCCACCGGCUUGAGGAGGGUGAAAGUUCAAUUCUUGGCCCCUGAAGUUAGCGGAAGGGAACGGGCAUGUUUUGGAAAGGCCCGCCGGGAAUUCCCUCAGAAACCAGGCGAAGCUCCCUGCUGGGCCAGGCCCCCCUCGUGUGCUUGAGGAGGAUGGGAGCCCGGCCUCGCUCCGUGUCUGAGAGGUUUUGUCUGUGGCUUGUCCUGCUACAGUCCUUGGUUCCCUGACCAGGAAGCGAGGUGACUGACAAGCCCUGUGGAGCGUCCCUGCAGAGGACUCCGGCCAGCCUGACUGACGCAAUCCAAAGAGCGCUCCCGGGUAGGAAAUGGCCCCGGUGGAAUGCCUUGCCAGAGCAGCGCAUAGCAGGCUCCCGAGAAGGAUUAACACUGGCUGAACACCGGGAAGGAACUGGCACUUGAAGUCCAGACAUCUGAAGCUUGUCAAGACUAGUUUUUGGAACUUGCCCCACUCCAUGUGAGUGGAAGCAUGGCCUGAUCACCCACGGUGUGCCUGUAUUGACAUCUUUGUUCUGGUUUUGACUUGGCUUGACUUGGUAAGACUAGUCUUUGGAACUUGCCCCACUCCACGUGAGUGGAAGCGUGGCCUGAUCACCCACGGUGUGCCUGUAUUGGCACUUUUGUUCUGGUUUUGACUUGGCUUGACUUGGUAAGACUAGUCUUUGGAACUUGCCCCACUCCAUCUGAGUGGAAACGUGGCCUGAUCACCCACAGCAUGCCUGCAUGGGCACUCUUGUUCUGGUUUUGACUUGACUUGAAUUGCUGGAUACUUUGGUUUUGGUUUUGACUUGGCUUGAAUUUUUUGGUACUCGGAUUUUGAAUUUCGUGAUUUUGGUUUGGUAUAAACGGUAAAAGUGUGUGUGCCCUCUU
rnacentral:lncRNA from 1 species